UGCCGGGUCCUACGCGACACAAUCCCGCCAACCCCGCCAGGUCCGGAAGGAAGCAACGGCAACGGGCCAGUGUGUGCGCAGUAGGUCACCCGGUACAU
rnacentral:SRP_RNA from 1 species